GAUCAUGGCUCGGGAUGAACGCUAGCUACAGGCUUAACACAUGCAAGUCGAGGGGCAGCGGGAUUGAAGCUUGCUUCAAUUGCCGGCGACCGGCGCACGGGUGAGUAACGCGUAUCCAACCUUCCGUACACUCAGGGAUAGCCUUUCGAAAGAAAGAUUAAUACCUGAUGGUACGAUGAGAUUGCAUGAUAUCAUCAUUAAAGAUUUAUCGGUGUACGAUGGGGAUGCG
rnacentral:rRNA from 1 species